rnacentral:tRNA from 1 species
AGCAGUGUGGCUCAGUGGAAAGAGCACGGGCUUGGGAGUCAGAGGUCAUGGGUUCGACUCCCGGCUCUGCUG